UACGUAGGGGGCAAGCGUUGUCCGGAAUCAUUGGGCGUAAAGAGCGUGUAGGCGGCCCCGAUAAGUCCGCUGUGAAAGUCCAGGGCUCAACCCUGGGAUGCCGGUGGAUACUGUCGGGCUCGAGUCCGGAAGAGGAGUGUGGAAUUCCUGGUGUAGCGGUGAAAUGCGUAGAUAUCAAGUGGAACACCGGUGGCGAAGGCGAGUCCCCUGGACAACACCUGACACUGAGGCACGAAAGCUAGGGGAGCAAACAGG
rnacentral:rRNA from 1 species